UCGGGUAUGGUGUAACGGCUAACAUUGCCGCCUCUCAUCCUUCAGUGCGCGGCAGCUCGGGGUUCGAUUCCCCGUACCCGAA